UACGUAGGGACCAAGCGUUGUCCGGAAUCAUUGGGCGUAAAGGGUGCGUAGGCGGCGGAGUAAGUUGGGUGUGAAACUCCCGGGGCGUUAACCUCGGAAUUGCAUUCAAUACUGCUUCGCUCGAGUACUGGAGAGGAGGCUGGAAUUUACGGUGUAGCAGUGAAAUGCGUAGAUAUCGUAAGGAAGGCCGGUGGCGAAAGCGAGCCUCUGGACAGUUACUGGACGCUGAUGCACGAAGGCCAGGGGAGCAAACGGG
rnacentral:rRNA from 1 species